GAUGAACGCUGGCGGCGUGCCUAAUACAUGCAAGUCGAGCGAACGGACGAGAAGCUUGCUUCUCUGAUGUUAGCGGCGGACGGGUGAGUAACACGUGGAUAACCUACCUAUAAGACUGGGAUAACUUCGGGAAACCGGAGCUAAUACCGGAUAAUAUUUUGAACCGCAUGGUUCAAAAGUGAAAGACGGUCUUGCUGUCACUUAUAGAUGGAUCCGCGCUGCAUUAGCUAGUUGGUAAGGUAACGGCUUACCAAGGCAACGAUGCAUAGCCGACCUGAGAGGGUGAUCGGCCACACUGGAACUGAGACACGGUCCAGACUCCUACGGGAGGCAGCAGUAGGGAAUCUUCCGCAAUGGGCGAAAGCCUGACGGAGCAACGCCGCGUGAGUGAUGAAGGUCUUCGGAUCGUAAAACUCUGUUAUUAGGGAAGAACAUAUGUGUAAGUAACUGUGCACAUCUUGACGGUACCUAAUCAGAAAGCCACGGCUAACUACGUGCCAGCAGCCGCGGUAAUACGUAGGUGGCAAGCGUUAUCCGGAAUUAUUGGGCGUAAAGCGCGCGUAGGCGGUUUUUUAAGUCUGAUGUGAAAGCCCACGGCUCAACCGUGGAGGGUCAUUGGAAACUGGAAAACUUGAGUGCAGAAGAGGAAAGUGGAAUUCCAUGUGUAGCGGUGAAAUGCGCAGAGAUAUGGAGGAACACCAGUGGCGAAGGCGACUUUCUGGUCUGUAACUGACGCUGAUGUGCGAAAGCGUGGGGAUCAAACAGGAUUAGAUACCCUGGUAGCCCACGCCGUAAACGAUGAGUGCUAAGUGUUAGGGGGUUUCCGCCCCUUAGUGCUGCAGCUAACGCAUUAAGCACUCCGCCUGGGGAGUACGACCGCAAGGUUGAAACUCAAAGGAAUUGACGGGGACCCGCACAAGCGGUGGAGCAUGUGGUUUAAUUCGAAGCAACGCGAAGAACCUUACCAAAUCUUGACAUCCUUUGACAACUCUAGAGAUAGAGCUUUCCCCUUCGGGGGACAAAGUGACAGGUGGUGCAUGGUUGUCGUCAGCUCGUGUCGUGAGAUGUUGGGUUAAGUCCCGCAACGAGCGCAACCCUUAAGCUUAGUUGCCAUCAUUAAGUUGGGCACUCUAAGUUGACUGCCGGUGACAAACCGGAGGAAGGUGGGGAUGACGUCAAAUCAUCAUGCCCCUUAUGAUUUGGGCUACACACGUGCUACAAUGGACAAUACAAAGGGCAGCGAAACCGUGAGGUCAAGCAAAUCCCAUAAAGUUGUUCUCAGUUCGGAUUGUAGUCUGCAACUCGACUACAUGAAGCUGGAAUCGCUAGUAAUCGUAGAUCAGCAUGCUACGGUGAAUACGUUCCCGGGUCU
rnacentral:rRNA from 1 species